GGAGUUAGGGGGCAAGUGCAGGCAAUGGGCUAUAGCUGCUCCUAUGGUCAGGAAAGGAAUCCACGAGGAGCCAGUGGCAUUCCCAGAAUAGGCCACAGUUGAAGCUAGGGCCAGCAUUGUGGGCAUGUGGCCUGCCUGACUGGAAGCCUUUGAUCUGAAGGGUCAACACUUGGUAGCAUGUUAUAGUCGCUCCUUGUGAAAUACUUCAUCAUGCUUGAAGAGGGUCCCUGUCCUAGGUUUCUGAAAUUAUAUAGCCAGACCUGUCUGAAGCUUGUUGUCCUCUUACCUUGUGUAAUGACAGUAUUCUGAUAAAUAAUCAGAAAAUGAAACAAAAAAAAUGAUAUAGCUGGACUUGGUGGUUCACGCCUUCAAUGCCAGCACUUGGGAGGCAGAGACAGGUCAGCCUGGUCUACAUAGUGAGUUCUAUGCCAGCCUGAGCUACACAGUGAGACCUUGCAUAAACACACACACACACACACACACAGAGAGAGAGAGAGAGAGAGAGAGAGAGAGAGAGAGAGAGAGAGAAACAAGUGAUGAAAGGCAGUGGCCAGAAUGUAAAUGCAAGCAGUGAAUUUUCUUGUAGUGGACAUUCAAGAAAGACUGUCUAAACUUUUUAACCGUGUAUGAGUGUUUGCAUUCGCUUGGAUAGCGGAUGCCUGGUGUCUUGGUGUCCGCAGAGGCCAACAGAGGGCAUCAGCUCCUGGAACAGGAAUUAUAGAUGAUUUUGGGUGGCUGUGUGGAUGCUUCAGAAACAAACCCAGGUCCUUGUCAAGGGCAGCCGCUGUCUUAACCUCUGAGCCAUCUUUCCAGACGCACGAACUUUUUCAUAAUAAAAUAAUUAUUAGAGCAUAAAAUGG
rnacentral:lncRNA from 1 species